rnacentral:rRNA from 1 species
GAUGAACGCUGGCGGCGUGCCUAAUACAUGCAAGUCGAGCGAACAGAUGAGGAGCUUGCUCCUCUGACGUUAGCGGCGGACGGGUGAGUAACACGUGGAUAACCUACCUAUAAGACUGGGAUAACUUCGGGAAACCGGAGCUAAUACCGGAUAAUAUAUUGAACCGCAUGGUUCAAUAGUGAAAGACGGUUUUGCUGUCACUUAUAGAUGGAUCCGCGCCGCAUUAGCUAGUUGGUAAGGUAACGGCUUACCAAGGCAACGAUGCGUAGCCGACCUGAGAGGGUGAUCGGCCACACUGGAACUGAGACACGGUCCAGACUCCUACGGGAGGCAGCAGUAGGGAAUCUUCCGCAAUGGGCGAAAGCCUGACGGAGCAACGCCGCGUGAGUGAUGAAGGUCUUCGGAUCGUAAAACUCUGUUAUUAGGGAAGAACAAAUGUGUAAGUAACUAUGCACGUCUUGACGGUACCGAAUCAGAAAGCCACGGCUAACUACGUG